AAUUCUUGGAUCCUCGAUCUUGCCUUCUUCUUCUUCUUGGUGACUUUAGUCUGUAGGAAGUGAUGAGGGAUUUCAAUUAAACCCUUGCGUGAGAGUAAGGAGAGGGAUCUGUUGAAUAAGGUUCAAGCUUAACCGAUUGAAACUUCUACGUGAAGCUUCACUGGCCUAGUAAUGGAGCUUUGGUGAGGGUGAGUUCAGAGAGGGAGAGAAUUAGAGACUGAUGUUGAGAGGUUUCUGAGAAUGAACAAAAUGGAUUGUGCCCCUCGAAUGGAGAUGAUGGUAAGAGUUUAUAGGGACGGUGGUCAUUAACAGAGUUAGCUCUGUUAACUCUUAUGCAUUGCAAAUUCAGUUUGGGGUUAGUUAAACUCUGUUAGACUUAGGAUAGCAUGAGAGUUAGUUGGAGUUGAUUUAGAAAUUCUGUUAUUAGUUAGUUAUGAACUUCUGUUAGGUUAGUUAGAUGAUUGAAAAGUUAGUUAGGUUGAAUGUUAGUUAAUGUUGAUUUUGUAAUUAGUGAUGCUUGGUAAUUGCAUUAAGCUUUUGUUAGUGUGGUGUUAGUUUUACUUAUUGAAAAUGUUGGAUUAGUUAGUUAGUGAAUCAAAUGGUAACUGGCUAUUGCAGGUUAUUGAUUAAAUGAGAUUAGUGAAAUGGCUUAUGACCUGCUGAAAAUAAGUGAUUUCAUCUUAAGUCAUAGGCCGUGUUCAAUUGCAAUUUGCAGGUUUUACAGGUGGUUUGAUUAGUGCAGGUAUAGGUCAAGUUGUGGUUGAUGCAGGACUGAUUGGAAAUUGGACAUGGUUACAAGGCAAGGAAAAAGGUUUGGCAAGAGCAUCCAAGGCAUGACCAAAACCAAACUUGACACAAACGUGAGGUUUCUUGUUCAUGAAAAAAAAAUGACGAUGGAAUCACAUUGAAGGGCAAGAAGAAAUAUACAAGGAGUACUAGGGUUUAGGUCAUGAAAAAAUAUGUUGGUUGACUUUGGUCAAAUGGUUGACCAAAAAGACAAUAGUUGACCAAAAGUCAAUUUUUGUAAAAAUUGUAUUUUUUUGUGUUUUCUUUUGUAUGAAUGAUGUAAAUGAUAAUGUAAUGAAUGGAUGGACAUUUAUUUUGAAUAGAAAUGAUAUUUAUGAUUUAGUUCAAA